GUUGAACGCUGGCGGCAGGCCUAACACAUGCAAGUCGAACGUGAAAGCUCUUCGGAGUGAGUAGAGUGGCGGACGGGUGAGUAACGCGUAGGAAUCUACCUGGUAGUGGGGGACAACCUGGUGAAAACCAGGCUAAUACCGCAUACGCCCUAUGGGGGAAAGCGGGGGAUCUGAGUUCUCUUCGGAGAAAAUGGACCUCGUGCUAUUGGAUGAGCCUGCGUAAGAUUAGCUAGUUGGUGGGGUAAAAGCCUACCAAGGCGACGAUCUUUAGCUGGUCUGAGAGGAUGAUCAGCCACACUGGGACUGAGACACGGCCCAG
rnacentral:rRNA from 1 species